AAAGUUAGUCUCCAAACUCCUCCGAAACGGCUCGACCGAUUCCUCUGAAAUUUGGUAAGCAUAUUGAGUAGGUCUGAGAAUCGGCUAACAUCUAUUUUUCACACCCCUAAAUAAUAAGGGUGGUCCACCCCUCAAAUUUUUUUUUUCAUUUUUUCGACAAAAUUUUUUUUAUUUAUUUUUUUAUGAUACGAUAUUCAAAAAUACAUACAACCCUAAGUUUUUGCCCUUCUAUCACCAACCCCUAUUUUUUAUUAAUCAUUUUAGUAAUUUAAUUAAUUUUUAAAAUUUUCCGCGCUUUUACUCUGGAUACUCAUUGGCCAGACUAUAUCGGUGUAACUACCCAGUGAACAACGCGGAGUGGGGAUGAGACCGAAGCCGGUCUCCUGUUUCUCUCACUCCUUCCACAGUUGUCGGCCAUCAUUAAUGUUUAUGUGUGUUUAUGCAUCAAACUUAGUAGUGACGUUUACUGUCAGUGUAUCUCUCAUUAUUAAUUAUAAAUAAUACUAAUAAUAACUCUCUUAAAUUAAUUAUACAAUUAAUUAAUUAAUAGUAAAUUAAUAAUAUAAGAUAAGAUAAUAAUAUCUGUUAUUAUUAAUUAUAACCUAAAAAUAUUCAACACGUGUCAGGGGUCCCUACCAACAACGACUUUUGUGUUGUUGUAAGUAUAUUUAUUUUUAUACUCAAAUUGUUGUUAAUAACAAUAUAAUUACGAUGUUUUUCAUUCUUAAGUAAUUUAAUAAGUGUUUGUUAAUCAAGGUAAGUUCACAUCUUCAUAUUGAUUUUUAGUAACUUUUGGUGACAAUACUACAAUUUGGUAUACAUGGUUAUGCAGAAAAUGUAUGAGAGCUUUUUAUUUUCAGUUGGAAUUUCGUUUUUAACAAUGCUACCAACCAGACGUACAAGCUUAGGCCGCAGAACUCGAAAUACGGCAAGUCAAAGAAAUAUAAGAACAAAUCAAACUGAUGAGCAACGCGAAGCGCGAAAUGAACUUGAACUGAAUCGAUAUCAAGAUAGACAUGUUGUGUUUAAUCCCCACAAAGCUGCAUUCAGUUAUAAUGUGGCAAUUGAUUACAGUUCAGAGCAAAUUGUUGCUAUUGGACUAAUGAACAUUGUGUGUCCACAUUGGGAUUGAAAUUAAAAAAUGAAGCCUCUGGAUUGUGUUGCGCCAGCGGCCAAGUCAAAUUGACGCCAUUGGUACCGCCACCAGAGCCACUACAUUCAUUGGUUCAUUUUUUGACUCAUAUCCAGCGGUACAAUAAUUGCUUUCAAAUGACAUCAUUUGGGGCAACAAAAGUUAUACGAGACAAUUUUUUGUCUACUUUUAGCAAAUUCAGGGAUUCAAAUAUAUCAUCAAACAGGUUCCUUAUUGCCAGUGCCUGUUGAAGACUGUACAUUUUUGCAAAUAUAUUUUAUGGACAAUCCAGCAAGAGAAGUCGAUCAGCGUUGCGCACACAACAACUCAGUAAAAAGAUCCAUUGUGAUGAACAACUUCAAACAUGUUUCCAUCAACACAAUGAUUAGUUGCAUUAUUCACAAAUGCAUUAGACCGCAUACCAUCAGAUAAUCACAAAAUUGUCAUCAGAGCCGAUAAGGCGCCUGCAGGACAAAAUGCUGGACAUUUUAAUGUGCCAACAAUUGAUAAAGAGCGCGCGUGGUAUUUAGCUCAAUGUUUACUUAAAAAUGCCAAGUUCUUCAAUAGCGAUUUGUAAAAAUAUUUGUGAAAUUAUUGAAUCCUAUGGAAUAAUCACUAUUAUGAAAAUA